CCUGCCGCACAUAGUCCCUCGGUCGCUGCCGCCACUUUUUGUACGUCUACCUACACACACUUUUGUAUCCAAGUGCCGUGAACGCGAGUUCCCAUUUUUAUUUCAGUGCAGUGCGUUCGAGUAUUUUAUUCCCGUUCAUCAGAUCUUUAUCAAGAAAAUGGCACCACAUUUUUCAUCGAUUAUUCACCAUCGUGAGUCCGAGUGAUCGCGCCAAAGCCAACCGGUGUAGGUAUAUACAUAUACUAUACACUCUGUGGUCAGCAGCAGCACCAACAGUCGAGAUUGGGUGUGCGAAUGCAAAAGCUCGUCUCGAUUUCCAGGGUGUUGGACGGGUAUAUAUAUAUAUAUACGUAUACCGAAGGAAUAAAGUAUACAUUACACGUGUGGAUGGAGAGGGGCGUGCCAUGGUCAGAUGUACGUGCGUGAAAUUCAUCCGGUUUUUACGUAUAGAUGAGAAUAGCACUAGAGAACGGAAGAAAUGACGAAAGUACGCUGGCCACGCACAACUUCGAGUAGUCCAAACACGGUACUUCCUGGUGAUAACGAUGACGCCAACUACAAUCACGUGGGCCUGAAACAGACAUAAUUAUCCCAUCGAACACACGUAUGCGUGGAAAUAUUUCAGGGUCGACGGUAAAGAGGAACUGGUGCUCAUAAUGUAUGG